AGUGAACGCUGGCGGUAGGCCUAACACAUGCAAGUCGAACGGCAGCACAGGAGAGCUUGCUCUCUGGGUGGCGAGUGGCGGACGGGUGAGGAAUACAUCGGAAUCUACUCUGUCGUGGGGAAUAACGUAGGGAAACUUACGCUAAUACCGCAUACGACCUACGGGUGAAAGCAGGGGACCUUCGGGCCUUGCGCGAUUGGAUGAGCCGAUGUCGGAUUGGCUAGUUGGCGGGGUAAAGGCCCACCAAGGCGACGAUCCGUAGCUGGUCUGAGAGGAUGAUCAGCCACACUGGAACUGAGACACGGUCCAGACUCCUACGGGAGGCAGCAGUGGGGAAUAUUGGACAAUGGGCGCAAGCCUGAUCCAGCCAUACCGCGUGGGUGAAGAAGGCCUUCGGGUUGUAAAGCCCUUUUGUUGGGAAAGAAAUCCAGCUGGCUAAUACCCGGUUGGGGUGACGGUACCCAAAGAAUAAGCACCGGCUAACUUCGUGCCAGCCGCCGCAGUAA
rnacentral:rRNA from 1 species